GCUGUGUGCGGUGGUGCGCUCCUGUAAUCCCAGCGGCUCGGGAGGCUGAGGCAGGAGGAUGGUGAGUUCAAAGCCAGCCUCAGCAAUUUAGCAAGGCCCUGAGCAACUCAGUGAGACCCUGUCUCUA
rnacentral:sRNA from 1 species